UACAGAGGGUGCGAGCGUUGUUCGGAAUUAUUGGGCGUAAAGCGCAUGUAGGCGGCUUGUUAAGUCGCGUGUGAAAGCUCCAGGCUCAACCUGGAAAGUGCGCGCGAAACUGGCGAGCUUGAGUGCCGGAGAGGGUGGCGGAAUUCCCGGUGUAGAGGUGAAAUUCGUAGAUAUCAAGCAGAACACCUGCGGCGAAGGCGGCCUUCUGGACGAUGACUGACGCUGAGACACGAAAGCGUGGGGAGCAAACAGG
rnacentral:rRNA from 1 species